AUGAAUCUUUAAAACACGAUCGUCGUUGCUUGGAUGGCAAAGUAAUUAAAGGGAAUUCCAAAACCCUUUUCUCCCGUUACAAAACAAGAAAUGUAGAGAUGUUACCUUAGAGUUUGAAAUUCGCUUUUCAGUGAUGUGAUUUUUUUGCCAUUAUAAAAUGAUAGCUUAGUGAACAAUUUACUAAAUGUGUAUAUCCAAUUUUAUCUCCUUAUAAAAACUGAAAUAUUUGAUAUCUAAAAACGACCAAAGCAAAAGGAACAACUCCAGGAAAAAUAUUUAAAAUUUUUUCCAACAUUGGUUUACAUAAUAAAUCAUGAUGUUCGCAUGUGUACGUAAUUUAGAUCCUGACUGUAAAUUAAAGUAUCUGUUUGUCUGUCUGUCUUUUACUUGCAUUAUUUAAAAAAAAUAGAAAUACUCGUCCGAUAUUUUUCAACAGUAAAAAGGACGAUAUAGAACCCCUCUGAGAAUAUCUGCAUAACUGUGUGAUGUUGUGUAAAUUUUGAUAUAUAAAAUAAUCAUGGGCUUCUGCUCUAGGGACCUUUUUACAAUUUUUUUUUAAAUAUUUUUCCAACUUGAGGUUGUGGUAGCUUUAACAGUUAAAAUUACUACUUUUAGAUUAAAACAAUUACCGAAUAUUCAUAAGUUAUUCCACAGGUAAGGAGUUAUUUACCAAUUGCACACUUAUUAUGUCAAAGUCAUAGCUUACUUAUAAAGUUUGAAAUUGUCGUAUGUCUCAACGAUGCGCAGUAGUUGAUAUGACACGUAAUUUGGCGAAUUACGCUGAAUUCCCAACAACUUAAUCAGUGAAGUGACGUUUAGCUUCCUUGGUUAAAUAUUUCUUUGAAAUCGAUUGUCAAAACAUGAAACAUUGUGAAACAAGAAGAUGGAAACGUUUUUCAAUUCGUCUGCGUUUUCAUUCAUAAGAAGUUUUUAAUUGUUAUUACUUAUGUACAAGUGGUUAUGUAGGCAUAUGAAUCAUGACUUAAUGAUCAUAAUUGGGUAAUUCCCAUGUCCAGCUUCCUUAUACAAGUAUAUAUAAAGUUCGACUGCGGAUAGCUGAACAAUUAAAGAAAAAAACAACAGCUGAAUAGUCAACAAACAAGCACAUUGUAAACCAAGACACAAAUACUGACGGAAAAAGAAAAGAACUGAAGCAAAAACUACCAACUGAUAAAUAUUCAGGAAAAAUGGCUUCUACACAAGUAAUACUUUUUGUCGGAUUGAUUGUUCUGGCAGCUCAUUUUGAGUGUGGGCACAGUAUGAGACGCCAAAGACUGUGCAGAAUGAACAGGGUUUCUGGUGCAUGUAACGAUAUUGUAAUGAGAAAUGGUGGUAGUUCACCCAUGGCUGCAGGACGCUGCGCACAGAAAGGCGGCACGUGCGAAAUCAUACCAACACGAAGGAGAGCUAUGUGCGCCUGUGCUAUCAUGUUUGACGUUUAGAUUCAGCUACAUAUAAAAUUAGGUUGUGUGUAAUUUCGUACAGUCUGGACAACAAAAUGCCGAUAAAACUUACUGACACUUUAGUAUGUCAAGCAGCAUUCAAGGAAAAUGGAUAAAUACAUUGUGUGAGAAUAUUGAUCGUGAAAAAAAAAAUAGUUUGACUGUUACUUACGCUUCAUUAGUUUAAAUGAGGUAUAUGUCGAAGAAAACAGUAACAUCAAAACUUUUGCUUGAAGUCUAUUCUCUAAAACGGGAACUUUUUUUACGAUUAUAUUGAUUUUAAUAUCGCUGCUCAUCUGAAAUAAUUAUAAAUACGUGGUGUGGAUUUUUUCUCAAAACUUGAUAUGAGGUAUUUUGUAUCAUCACCUGUCGAAUGCUAUGCACUGUAAUACAUUGUUAGUAAAAGUAACAAUCAUCAGGCAUACAUUCCAAUGGUUAGUACUUUGAUUGUGGUAAUUUAUUUGUUUAUUUUCGAACUUUUUUAGAUUCAUAUUUUUAUUUGUGUAUACAUGUGUUCUUUUCUUUUUCAUUUACUCCUGAUAAUGUGAUUAUACAUCUUUUCGUCAUGUUGUGAAAUGUAUUUAUUUCUAUUGUUCUCAAAUGCUCUGUAUUGUUUAGUUAAGUGCUUUACAUAUUUUGUUAAAAGCCUUUACAAGUGUAUUAUAGACGAAAACAGUUAAGAAAUACAAUUCUGUUGUUUUCUA